rnacentral:lncRNA from 1 species
GAACAAUUAGCUUGCUGAGAUGUUUCAUCUCACUCUUGCAUUACUCAAUGCAGGUGCUUGUUGCUCAUCAAGGGGAGUGGGAAGUAGCAGCACAUCCACCUUCAUUCUCAUAAUAAUGCUGCCCAGACGCAGCCAUGAUUUAAUUAGAAACUUCUUGUCAAAGGAUGUUUGUUUUUAACUAGUCGUGCGCACUGAUUAAUUCAGUUCAUGUUGUUAUGGUUGUCUUCCCAUUGCUAGCAGAUUAUUAAUGUCUUAUAUGUUUUCUUAUCAUGAUAUCUAUUUAUACUUUGUUGCUUCCCCCGUUUAUGCAAUUUUCAAAGGAGAUGUUGUCGAAAUUUUAUAUAUGAAUAUUAGAUGUGUAGUUUAGUAGCAUUCUGGGGUGUUUGUGGAUCCCGGGGUGUUACAGUUGGUAUCAAAGCAUAGGCUUUAGAUUCUUGGCAAUUUAAAGAUAAAUUUGACACACUUGCACAUAUAGGAAGGGUAUGGGUUCAAAUAUCUUUGAUAUAUAUUAAUGUCUUUGGAGUGCAGAUGACAAUAGUUUCACCCCUCCCUAUUCCUUUACGGUGAUGUGGUAAGUUGUUUAUGGCUUAAUGCUUGAUAUAAUUUAUUUCUGAAAUUUUGAUAUUGUUUUAUUAAUGCGGUAGAUAUCGCUGGUCAUUGGUGAGAAUGAAGUUGUUAUUAUGCUUGUGAUAUACAAGUAUGCCUAUGUUGUUUUCACCAUGUUUUUCAUGGUUGAGUUUUAUUACAAUAAUAUUGUUAUAUAUGCUUGAUUGUGGAUGUUUCUAAGAGGAGUGUGAAUUGCGUGUUUUGGGGUACAAGGUAAUCAUCAAUUUGAAUUUAAGUUGUUGAGCGGUUGGUGGAUAGCUCCAACUAUCAUUGCAAAGAAUGAUUGUUUAUGUUGAGAAACCAGUUUUGAAAGAACUGAAUAUUGGUACUUUAUAUGGAUUUUUGGGGGAAGUCUUUUCAUAGCCAGAAUGGCUUACAUGUCUCUCUCAUAUUGUGUGUUUUAGUUGCCACAAAGCCUAGAUGUGGUUUAAAGUGGUUGCCUGUUAGUCAUACUAAUUGUAGAAUAAAUCUUUGAUUCUCUUGAUCCAUUGAUUAUGUAUUGAUACAUUGAGGAUCUGAUGGUUCCCUUUUCGAUGCAUGCUUGUGGAGCCAUUUUUUUAGACCACCUAUCUAUUGGUUUGAAGGAAGUCCUUGCCUAGCCUAGAGUUGGUUGGGUGUGGCUAGUCACCUAUUCCUAGAUCAUGUGGUGUUUACAUCAGCUUAAUAUGUUUGUCAAAUGUGUGAAGGAUUAGGGGUUAUUAUUAUUGACUUUGUAUGUCUGGUACUUUGAGUGCAUCGUAUGAUAGAAUGAAAUGUAAGUUUCUGAACUACAGUAGAUGAAGACUUAUAUUAUGUGUAGGUUAUCCUUACUAGUUGGAUAUUUUUCUUAGUUGAGAUGUUGAAUGAAGUAUAGUGACAUGGGUUAAGCAAGUAUUGUGUUGUUGUUGGGCUAUCAGUGCUCUAUGUAGAGUUUUUGGCAUUUCUUCGAUGAACUAUGCCGCACAAGAUGUUAUUGGCUUCUUUUGGCUUUAUUGCUCCAUUAGUUCUAUAGAUUUUCUCCCUUUUGGUGGGGUGCAAGGAAUGUUAGAUUACAUGAUUAUCUUUUCAUGAUGGCAAGAAUAAGGUUUAGGAAGAUUAGGAGUUUUGUUCCAAUAGAACUACUUGUUUCAUAGUGCUUUAAGGUGAGGUGUUUGAUCUUCUUACACAUUCGUCGGGUGUAGAUGUUUCACCAUUUAAUUAAAAUUAAUGGUUGAAGUUGGUAAGGGUUGUGCUUGGUGCAUAUUACCCCUUCAUAAAAGAGUGUUGUCUUAAGACAUUGAUGUUGAUGUAUAGCUGCAUCCAAAUUUGAUGGUGUGAAAUUGGAGUGUUGAUUGCAACUAUGACAUGCUUUGAGCUUCAUUACAUGUUGUUUCAUGCUUGAUGUCAGGUCGUGUAGUUUCCUUAGACAAUUAGUCCAAGGUAGAAGUUCUUGUGUUAAUUAAGACCAAUAAUGGACCCAUGUUUUGAAUUGUGGUGCUAUAUGGGGUACCUUGGGUGUUUUGCUUGGAGUGGCCGAAUUCGAGGUCGAAUUCUUUUUAAGGGGGAUAGAGUGUAAUAUCCCAAAAAAAAAUGUUGACCAAAAGUUAAUCUCUGGUGCGUGGAUGAGGUAAAGGGUUGUGGGCCAUUGGAUGCAAAGAUAGAAGUCAUCUGAGGCGUCGUUUCUUUCUCCCACAAAAAACCCUAGGUGGCCACCCUUUUUUCCCUUCACCCCCCCUCUUGGCCGCCACCCCCUUUUUCUCCCCCUUGGCUGGACGCCCCCUCCCCCUAUGGCAGCCAUCCUCCAUUGCUUCCUCCCCCAAGAUCUCCCCCUACGCAGCAAGGAUCGAGAAAAGGAGGGGCACGUUGAAUUGAAGAGGAAGAGAGGAUCAAGGAGAUGUUCUUCCCCAUCUCCUCUUGAAGAUUUCUUGGGGAAAACCUAGGUAUGGAUGAGAUCCUUGUUCCUCCCUGUAAUUAUAGGCUUUUGGAGGUUGUGGAUCAUGGGAAUUAAAGGAUUAGAGGUUGGAUUUGAUGUGGGGUUAGGUUUUGAUCUCGAAUUUAGUUUUCUGCAGAAUGGCAGAUUCGACAGUUUCUGUUCAUGCCAGUUUUCCGUGGUCUUAGUGGCCUCAAAAAAAUAAAAAGUCUAUGUAUGAGUCGUAGAUAAUUUGUAGAUCUUUCCGUGGCCGCGAAGAACACCUCAAUCGGACAUCCGACCAGAAAGUUAUUGCAGUUUUACUAUAGCAGUUUUUCAGUCUCAUAAUUCUGUGCAGAAUCUGUUCUCUUAAGAUUUAGGCAAUUUUAUCAACAGAAUUAAACUGUGGGUUGGUAAAAGAAGUUGUAGAUAAUUUUAUAAGCUUUCCAUAUUGUUAAAGAGUGCAUUCAUAUGAUUUGUGAAACUCCAGUUAUGUUUGUUUUACUGUGGCUGUUCCUGUUUACCUGACAAAAAUGAGUGGGUCUGUUCACUGGUGGGUUUCAUCUAGUAAAUGGCCGAAUUGGCUCUUCCAACUAUGGAGACUUUUGUAGAGGGAUAAAAGUUCUUACUUCCAGCAGAAUUUCAUAAUUGUUGGUUCAGCAGUUUUGGAGAUAUCGAAUUUUAAAGUUAACCAUACUGCUGUCUAAAACAGAUUCAGUCAGUUAUCUUGUCAGAUGUUUUAGAACUUGUAGAUGGCAGAAUUUAAUUAUCUAUUGAAUACUGAAGUUGUAGAGUAUUUUGUGUAGAUACUCCUAGAGUAUUUGUUUGAUAUCACCGCUGUUUUAAUUUUAAAGAUACAAAAUUAACAAACAGCGUUGCUGCUGUAUGGCAUGUGGUUCAGGGUGGGAGUCUUUCCACUGGGUCUUGGUUUCAAGUGUAGGAGUGUUUUGUUGAUUGAUGGCGAAUGUUUGUGAAAUAUUUGUACUAAGUUUUAUGCCCACUAGCAGGUGGCUACACUCCAGAUCAUGUCUAGUACAUUUCUUCUUCUUCGAUGAAGGCAAGUGAAUGUAGCGGUGGUUGCUUCCAUUCUGACAUGUUAUUUCUAUCGCCUACACUCUAAUAUUCAGAAGUAUCAGAUUCUUUCAUAAUUGGACUCUAUGGUGAUGCUUUACUUGCUUGCAUUAUACUGAUGCUCAAUCAUAUAUUCAUGAUGAUUAUGAUUUGAGUAUGACUCAUGAGAUUAAUUCACACCCCUGAAGGUAAAUGAAGUAUUAUUUGAGGUUGGUAUUGUAUCUGAAGGUAAAUGAAGUAUUAUUUGAGGUUUGUGUUGUAUCUGAAGGAAGUGAAGUUUAUUGAUAAAUGUAGCAUGCCAUAUACAUUACAUCACUCAUUUGCAUAUGAAGUUUUGUCGUGACCUAUGGUCCGACCGUACCGGUACAACUUAGCAUCGUACGUUGCCCGAGAAGGGGUACGAUGCGGCUUCAUACCCUUAGAGGUAUGAAGGCAGAGGACAUAUGCAUUGCAUUCAUAUGCAUUCAUUGAAGUGAUAUUUGCAGAUGAUGUGGUUUUAUACCCCCAGAGGUAUGAAGAUAGAGUACCUACACAUUGCAUUCCUAUGCAUACAUUGAAGUGAUAUUUGCAGGUAUUGUUGACGCAGGAAAGUGUUAUAGAACCUAUUGUGGUUGUUCGAGGAAAUGAGAUGGUAUUGGUUAUAGUGGGACUACUGAGUUCUAUAUCUACAAGCAUUUCUGAUUUUUAAUUGUGACUCUUUUAAAAUGUUGAUGAAUUCAAUUUGUGGUUUAAAUAUCUCGUCAGAACAAUUAGCUUGCUGAGAUGUUUCAUCUCACUCUUGCAUUACUCAAUGCAGGUGCUUGUUGCUCAUCAAGGGGAGUGGGAAGUAGCAGCACAUCCACCUUCAUUCUCAUAACAAUGCUGCCGAGACGCAGCCAUGAUUUAAUUAGAAACUUCUUGUCAAAGGAUGUUUGUUUUUAACUAGUCGUGCGCACUGAUUAAUUCAGUUCAUGUUGUUAUGGUUGUCUUCCCAUUGCUAGCAGAUUAUUAAUGUCUUAUAUGUUUUCUUAUCAUGAUAUCUAUUUAUACUUUGUUGCUUCCCCCGUUUAUGCAAUUUUCAAAGGAGAUGUUGUCA